CCAAGUUUAAGGUGGUAGGCUGAAAUCUUAGGUAAAUCCGGGGUUUCAAGGCCGAGAGCUGAUGACGAGUCGUCUUUUAGAUGACGAAGUGGUUGAUGCCAUGCUUCCAAGAAAAGCUUCUAAGCUUCAGGUAACCAGGAACCGUACCCCAAACCGACACAGGUGGUCGGGUAGAGAAUACCAAGGCGCUUGAGAGAACUCGGGUGAAGGAACUAGGCAAAAUGGCACCGUAACUUCGGGAGAAGGUGCGCCGGCUAGGGUGAAGGAUUUACUCCGUAAGCUCUGGCUGGUCGAAGAUACCAGGCCGCUGCGACUGUUUAUUAAAAACACAGCACUCUGCAAACACGAAAGUGGACGUAUAGGGUGUGACGCCUCCCCGGUGCCGGAAGGUUAAUUGAUGGGGUUAGCGCAAGCGAAGCUCUUGAUCGAAGCCCCGGUAAACGGCGGCCGUAACGAUAACGGUCCUAAGGUAGCGAAAUUCCUUGUCGGGUAAGUUCCGACCUGCACGAAUGGCGUAACGAUGGCGGCGCUGUCUCCACCCGAGACUCAGUGAAAUUGAAAUCGCUGUGAAGAUGCAGUGUAUCCGCGGCUAGACGGAAAGACCCCGUGAACCUUUACUGUAGCUUUGCACUGACUUUGAGCCUGCUUGUGUAGGAUAGGUGGGAGGCUUUGAAGCGUGGACGCCAGUUCGCGUGGAGCCAUCCUUGAAAUACCACCCUGGCAUGCUUGAGGUUCUAACUCUGGUCCGUAAUCCGGAUCGAGGACAGUGUAUGGUGGGCAGUUUGACUGGGGCGGUCUCCUCCUAAAGAGUAACGGAGGAGUACGAAGGUGCGCUCAGACCGGUCGGAAAUCGGUCGCAGAGUAUAAAGGCAAAAGCGCGCUUGACUGCGAGACAGACACGUCGAGCAGGUACGAAAGUAGGUCUUAGUGAUCCGGUGGUUCUGUAUGGAAGGGCCAUCGCUCAACGGAUAAAAGGUACUCCGGGGAUAACAGGCUGAUACCGCCCAAGAGUUCAUAUCGACGGCGGUGUUUGGCACCUCGAUGUCGGCUCAUCACAUCCUGGGGCUGAAGCCGGUCCCAAGGGUAUGGCUGUUCGCCAUUUAAAGUGGUACGCGAGCUGGGUUUAGAACGUCGUGAGACAGUUCGGUCCCUAUCUGCCGUGGACGUUUGAGAUUUGAGAGGGGCUGCUCCUAGUACGAGAGGACCGGAGUGGACGAACCUCUGGUGUUCCGGUUGUCACGCCAGUGGCAUUGCCGGGUAGCUAUGUUCGGAAAAGAUAACCGCUGAAAGCAUCUAAGCGGGAAACUUGCCUCAAGAUGAGAUCUCACUGGGAACUUGAUUCCCCUGAAGGGCCGUCGAAGACUACGACGUUGAUAGGCUGGGUGUGUAAGCGUUGUGAGGCGUUGAGCUAACCAGUACUAAUUGCCC
rnacentral:rRNA from 1 species